AUGCUCACUUUGUUAGCACAUAUACUAAAAUUGGAGCAAUAAAGAGAAGACUUGAAUGGAUCCUGAGCAAAGAUGAUGUGAAAAUUCAUAAAGUGUUCCAUAAUUUU
rfam:Tupaia chinensis contig224855, whole genome shotgun sequence.